ACCAAUUUGUUCUGCCUCUGGGAGUAGAAAAAUAGGAGUAUUACAUGGUGUCCGCUUUGUGACUUCACAGACACUCAUCAACUUUUACUUUUGGAAAUUGGUUAAGAGAGUUACGUGGAAAUGAGUAUAAAAUUAGCUGACGUGACUAACCAAGACAUGUCUGAAUGGUUCGGAAAGCAUUUCAAAUCUCACUUGAAUCAGUCACUGCACAAGAAAUACUUGGGUUAUGCUCACGGCUUGAAGCCAGAUGAAGUGUGAUGAUGGCAUAUAAAUUUGAGUUUUCGUGCAAUAGGAUGUGAUAUUUUUUUAACUUAGCUCUCUUAAGUCUUUACACUCUUUCUACGGAAAGUUAUUCUCUGUUUAAUCCAGCCAUAAUUAUCAUAAUAAGAAACGACUCUUAAUAAUACCUACUAUGCUACAUUAUAUAAUUCAUUGAGACCUGUAAACUUUUAC